rnacentral:rRNA from 1 species
UACGUAGGGGGCAAGCGUUAUCCGGAAUCAUUGGGCGUAAAGAGCGUGUAGGCGGCUCGGUAAGUCCGCUCUGAAAGCCCGGGGCUCAACCCCGGGAGGCGGGCGGAUACUGUCGGGCUAGAGUCCGGAAGAGGCGAGUGGAAUUCCUGGUGUAGCGGUGAAAUGCGCAGAUAUCAGGAGGAACACCAAUGGCGAAGGCAGCUCGCUGGGACGGUACUGACGCUGAGACGCGAAAGCGUGGGGAGCAAACAGG